rfam:TPA: Bos taurus chromosome 18, whole genome shotgun sequence.
UCCCUGGUGGUCCAGUGGCUAAGACUCCAUACUCCCAACGCAGGGGGCUCAGGUUCGAUCCCUGGUCAGGGAA